GCGACCCGAUGGCGCCCGGCGGGGGCGGCGCGGGCCCGCCUUGGCCGCGCGUUAAGCUCGCCCAGAGAGGUCCUGGUUAUUUUUACAAGAGUGUUUGGGAUUUUGACAAAUAAAGUUUGUUGACAAGAACAAGACAGAGAAGAGUUUCCUAGGAAUGCAAGAAGCUGUUUAGUCUACCGGUUUAUGAGAAUGUCCACUGAAACUAUAUUUGCUGUCUUGGAUCAUCUUCACUGCUAUCAUCUCCACUUUCCAACUUCUACCCUCCCUGAGGUGAAAGGACCAGAUUGCAUACAGAGACUUACCCAGCAUGGACAGGUUUUUGUCAAAAUAAACCAUG